CCUUGCCAGCCCGCUCAGAAACUUAAAUGAAUUGACGGGGCCCGCACAAGCGGUGGAGUAUGUGGUUUAAUUCGAUGCAACGCGAAGAACCUUACCUGGUCUUGACAUCCCGGAGACCCUUAGGAAACUAGGGGGUGCUUCCAUCUGGAAGAAUCUGGAGACAGGUGCUGCAUGGCUGUCGCCAGCUCGUGUCGUGAGAUGUUGGGUUAAGUCCCGCAACGAGCGCAACCCUUGCCUUUAGUUGCCAGCAGUUCGGCUGGGCACUCUAAAGGGACUGCCGGUGUUAAACCGGAGGAAGGUGGGGAUGACGUCAAGUCCUCAUGGCCUUUAUGACCAGGGCUACACACGUACUACAAUGGCCGAUACAAAGGGCAGCGACACUGCGAAGUGAAGCCAAUCCCGUAAAAUCGGUCUCAGUCCGGAUUGGAGUCUGCAACUCGACUCCAUGAAGUUGGAAUCGCUAGUAAUCGUGGAUCAGCAUGCCACGGUGAAUACGUUCCCGGGCCUU
rnacentral:rRNA from 1 species